GAUGAACGCUGGCGGCGUGCCUAAUACAUGCAAGUCGAGCGAACAGACGAGGAGCUUGCUCCUCCGACGUUAGCGGCGGACGGGUGAGUAACACGUAGGUAACCUACCUAUAAGACUGGGAUAACUUCGGGAAACCGGAGCUAAUACCGGAUAAUAUUUUGAACCGCAUGGUUCGAUAGUGAAAGAUGGCUUUGCUAUCACUUAUAGAUGGACCUGCGCCGCAUUAGCUAGUUGGUAAGGUAACGGCUUACCAAGGCAACGAUACGUAGCCGACCUGAGAGGGUGAUCGGCCACACUGGAACUGAGACACGGUCCAGACUCCUACGGGAGGCAGCAGUAGGGAAUCUUCCGCAAUGGGCGAAAGCCUGACGGAGCAACGCCGCGUGAGUGAUGAAGGUCUUCGGAUCGUAAAACUCUGUUAUUAGGGAAGAACAAACGUGUAAGUAACUGUGCACGUCUUGACGGUACCUAAUCAGAAAGCCACGGCUAACUACGUG
rnacentral:rRNA from 1 species